CAACAUGAGAGUUUGAUCCUGGCUCAGAACGAACGCUGGCGGCAGGCCUAACACAUGCAAGUCGAGCGAGGACUUCGGUCCUAGCGGCGGACGGGUGAGUAACGCGUGGGAACGUGCCCUUUGCUUCGGAAUAGCCCUGGGAAACUGGGAGUAAUACCGGAUGAGCCCUUUGGGGGAAAGAUUUAUCGGCGAAGGAUCGGCCCGCGUUGGAUUAGGUAGUUGG
rnacentral:ncRNA from 1 species